UACGAAGGGGGGCUAGCGUUGCUCGGAAUCACUGGGCGUAAAGCGCACGUAGGCGGCUUCUUAAGUCAGGGGUGAAAUCCUGGAGCUCAACUCCAGAACUGCCUUUGAUACUGAGGAGCUCGAGUCCGGAAGAGGUGAGUGGAACUGCGAGUGUAGAGGUGAAAUUCGUAGAUAUUCGCAAGAACACCAGUGGCGAAGGCGGCUCACUGGCCCGGUACUGACGCUGAGGCGCGAAAGCCAGGGGAGCAAACGGG
rnacentral:rRNA from 1 species